rnacentral:lncRNA from 1 species
GCCUGAUUGGGCAAGGUCCAUCCCCCUGAUGAAGAGCAAUUGGCUUUACUCAAAGACGUCCAAUUUAAACACAAUCUCUUUUUUGUUUUUUUUUAGACAAUGUCCCACUCUGUAGUCCAGGCUGGCCUUGAACUCACUAUGGAGCCCCAGAGCGGGCUCAAACUUGCAGUUCUCCUGCCUCAGCCUUCUGAGUGCUGGGAGUACAGGUGUGGACCAGCAUUCCCAUUGUCUCAGCCAACUGCCCACCUGCUGCUGCAUUACACAGAAUCAGCCAGCACCACCAUCGCACGCGGGAAAAGAUCGGCACAGAGCACACGGCUAAGAGCUCUGGCGGCUGGAAGUCUGGCAUCAGGGUGUGAGGAUGGACAGAAGCUUCAGUCCAUGGCAGAAGAGAAGACCCAGCUCUGACCCGUUGGUCUCUGCCUCUCUGGGAGGCAGAUUAAAUCAGCUUUCUUGUGUAUUUGAAAUGUGCUGGUUUCACCAAUGCAGUGGGCCCCUGGCAAGCUCCUGCCCCGGUCCUCCUCUCCCCUGCCCUGUCCUGCUGAUCUGCAUGGAUGAGGGGAGUUG